rnacentral:lncRNA from 1 species
CUCGGCCACCCCACCACCCCCCGCCUGCAGGAACAAGGCCCACUUCUCUCGGCAGGUCUCAGUGGACGAGGAGCGGGGUGGAGACAUCCAGAUGCUAGUGGAGGGCCGGGGAGGGGACUACGCCCGCAACAGCUGGGGCGAGGAGAAGGCGGGCGGCUCCAGGGGCGUCCGUGGCAGCGCCCUACGCAGCAGCCACCCCGCCGAGGACUUCCGCACCCGGAGCUCGGGCCACAAGCUGCCCGGGAACCCCAAGCCCCGGGAGCGGCGGACGGAGUCCCCCACCACGUUCUCGUGGACUUCCCACCACCGGGCCAGCAACCCCAGCUCCGGGGGUGCCAAGCUGCCCGAGCCCGACGAAGAGCAGCCCAGCACCUACAAGCUGGAGAUGAAGCCCCUGCUGAGGAUGGACUCGGGCCCCCAGGAGGUGCACCCCCAGAGGCGGCGCCACAGCCGGGGCGCGGGUGGCGAGCGGCGUGCCCCUGAGGACAGGGGCUUUGGGCUGCAGAGACUGAGGCCCAAGUCCCAGAGCAAGGAGAACUUCAGGCCGGCCUCCGCGGAGCCCACGGUGCAGAAGCUGGAGAGCCUGCGGCUGGGGGAGCGGCCCGAGCCCCGGCUGCUGCGUUGGGACCUCACCUUCUCCCCGCCCCAGAAGUCCCUGCCUGUGGCACUGGAGUCUGACGAGGAGACGGGGGAUGAGCUGAAGUCCAGCACGGGCUCGGCUCCCAUUCUGGUCGUCAUGGUGAUCCUGCUCAACAUUGGAGUUGCCAUUUUGUUUAUCAACUUUUUCAUCUGAUAUGAUUGUCUCGACCAACUGGUGUACCGAAGACCAUUAAAAGCAAAACAGCGGAGAGGGAAGAUCUAGCUUGGACAGCCCCACAACUCCCAAGUCUUUUCAUAGAAGAACACCAUGAUUGGGUAUUACUCACAGUUUGCCUUUUUUUCUGGGUAAUGUUUUUUGGAUUUUAGCCAAAAUUCCUCGCUUGUAAACACUCUGCUGUGUGGCAUGGCAGGAGGCGGCCGGCACGCCGACCCUCCAGCUGGACGUGGACAGGAGGGAUCCCGGCGAACCAGCAGCAAAAAAGAAAAGGUCAUCGCGUCGUUGCUGUCCUCACACUUCUGGUUGGGGGUGUGCAAGGUGGUGGCCUUGGGGGAGCCCAGCUAGCCAGGCCCAGGCGGGGUCGGGGGAGCAGCCGCCUUAGGGAAGUUGAGCCUUUCCCCUCUGGAAUAGCUGGUGACAGGUCCGGUGUGAGCACAGGAAGCGGGUCCCAGCCCAGCCGGGACAGCGCAGGCCUUUUCUACUCUAACUCUGUGCUGCACACUCCGGGGGGAGGAGGCCAGGCCUCUUGUCCCUCCAGGAACAGACCACGACGCCCUCCCUCUCGGCACUGCCCCGCGGCCUCCAGGCCGCCUCCCCACCGAGUCUUACAGCGAAGUCCCUACUCCUCCGCACACCCAUUGUUUGCCCCGUCCAGGGAGGCUGUGCGCGGAGCCCGGGGCUGACCCCGGCCCGGCCACUCUGCCGCACGCCUGGUCUCUGAGCAUGUGGCGACUUUGCACCUAGUAUGCAGGGUGUAUAUUCAGGCUUCUGUGUCCCUGGCAGUGACCCCGGUACGGGACGUCACCUCUCGCUGUUACUGACCUCCACGGGUUCUCACAUCUUUGUACUGUGCCUGCCUCGACUUCCCCUGACAGAUAUGCAUAUUCCCUCCAGAUGCCUCAGUGCUGCUCCAGAGCGGGUCUGGUCCCGGGACAGGAAUGUCAUUGACACCCAGUGGCUUGAAACUCCCCAGAAACUCUUGCAUAUCCCUGAUGUGCAAUGUAACUUGUUUCAGUCAGACACAAACAGUCCCUUCUGUUUCUGCCUCCUUCCCAGGGUUGCCCCAUUGCCCGGCCAGGCAGCCAGGGGUACAUGGGCCCUCGGCCCCGCUCUCGUGCGCACACACACGUGCGCGGGGCGGUCCAGGUGCAUCUGCGCGCGGGACCCUGCGCUCCUGCCCGAGGAGACCCUGGACGUGCCUCCCCGUCAGUCUUCUUGGGUACAGCCCGCCUCAUGGACUCUGCCUUGCUCUGCUUAUGUUUAGCUGUUUCUCUGCUACCUUUCGAGCAGAUUUCUUUACUACACUGCACUGGAUUGCUAUAUUUUUAACCAGAAAUAAACUAAAG